CUUCAAUAGCCUGUCAUCAGCCUGGGAAAUUAGUAAUAAUUUCGAAAUGUAACUGUGUAAUGUGGACUGUACAGGAGGACGGUGAAGCCACCUCAGGUGGAACUGUUGCCAUGGAAGCAGUUGCGCUCACGUUGCCUCAAAGGGGAACUUCCGCCCACACCCCACAUGCAAUCUGGAAAGCGAAUUGUUCUGUGUCUUUACUGCUGAACUUUACUUGUAGAUUGUAGGUUAGUGCUUGGUAAAAAUAAUACUUACCGUUGAAAAACCAAGUCUUAUUUGUACAUCAAUUUUGCAGGAGUUUGUGACAUUAUUUUGAGCAUUUAUAUUGUAUUAUUAUACAUUUAUAUAUAUUGAAGUUUGAAAACCUGCGACAGCGUCAGGCUACUUGUUUUGGCUUUACAGGCUGCAGAGAGGAGCUGAGAAGCAGGAGGGCGGUGAGAGGCAGAAAAAGGCAAGGCAGGCUGUGUUGGCACGGCUGGCAGAGCUGGCUUCAAGACUGUGCUGGAGCCUUAUGGACUCUGUGGAGCAGCAAACAAAGAUUUCUGCAGGCUUACAGCUCACAGACAUGUCAGAGUCGCAAUCCAGCCCUGUUUGAAUUGGCCUGGGUCCAACACGGUCAGCAGACCUCUGCAUUUCUAAAGUUUGAAAAAUCAUCACUCUGGCAGUCUUGAGGUUGGCCUUGAAGUCCACAGACUCUUUGACCUUAGAGCCCAGCAGAGCCCCCAGCAUGGCGUCAGCUGACACUCUCACCCUCCUCAGUUUCCAGAGGCAUCAAACAGCUUCUUCCUUCCCUCCAUACCAGACAUGGCUUCCACAUUCUUACGCCAGUCAGUCACCUCCUCCUUCUGUUGGCCUUGAAGUCGAAGGACUCUUUGUGUUUGGAGCCCAGCAGGACGCUCAGCAUGGCCUCAGCGGAGAUCUUCACUCUCCUCAGGUCUUGAGGUUGGCCUUGAAGUCCACGGACUCUUUGACCCUAGAGCCCAGCAGAGCCCCCAGCAUGGCGUCAGCUGAGAUCUUCACCCUCUUGAGAGCAGGUCGCUUCAUUUUACCCUUCAGCUCAAAGAUCUUCUGAGA